ACUAGUGUAGCAGAAUGGUUUGAGUGUUGGACUAUGACUCUGGAGGCCAGGGUUCAAUUCCCAGAGUAGCC